GCACCCUUGGUGCAGUGGCUAGCGCGUUUGACUCACAAGCAAGCGACGAUGGUUCGAUUCUUCCAGCA